rnacentral:rRNA from 1 species
UGAGGAAUAUUGCACAAUGGGCGCAAGCCUGAUGCAGCAACGCCGCGUGAGGGACGAAGGCCUUCGGGUCGUAAACCUCUUUUCUGGGGGACGAGUAAGGACGGUACCCCAGGAAUAAGUCUCGGCUAACUACGUGCCAGCAGCCGCGGUAAAACGUAGGAGGCGAGCGUUAUCCGGAUUUACUGGGCGUAAAGCGUACGCAGGUGGCUUCGUUAGUCGGACAUGAAAGCUCCUGGCUUAACUGGGAGAGGUUGUUCGAUACUGCGGGGCUUGAGGUUGGGAGAGGGACGUGGUAUUCCCGGUGUAGUGGUGGAAUGCGUAGAUAUCGGGAGGAACCCCAGUGGCGCAAGCGGCGUCCUGGCCCACACCUGACGCUGAGGUACGAAAGCGUGGGUAGCAAACAG